CCAGAAAAGGGCAAACCCGUCGUGAGAUGGGGACGCAAAGCCACGGGACUCUAAGAGUCAGCCGGGCUGCCUGGG
rnacentral:ncRNA from 1 species